CGUGAGGGUGGUACAUGGUGGGGGGUUCAGAAGGUGACAUGAGGGUUCAGUGUGCCUUCCUCUGAGGGAGGAGGCAGGCAAAGGAUAGGAGGAGACCACUUGGUUGCCUGAAUUCUGCAGUGGAUGGUACCUACACAGCUGACCUUUGGUUCUUUCUUAGAGCCACAACUAUAGUCAGCUUGGCUGUCAGACCUUGGCUGUCAGUUGCAACCUUAGCAAAAAGCCUCCCUCCUGACUCACCUUCAGAUCUAGAUCCCGUUGGGCUUUUUUUAGAAGUAUGACCUCUAGGUCCCUUGGCUCCGUUGAUACAAAGAUCGUUCCACAGUGACAAAGAACCCGACAUUCAGCUUCUUACCACGACAAAGAUUUACUUUCCUCCCAUUCCAUGUCCAUGUGAGGCCUGCUGGAUCUUGCUCACCGUAGGCAUUCCGGAUUCAUCUGGAUUCAUCCUUCCCGGUAUAGGGAGGAAAGUAGCAGAUGUCCUAUUGAUUCUGAAAGUUUCUGGUCAGAAGUGACAUAAUUUCUGCUAAUAGUUCAUUGGCUAAUGGUAUCUUCAUUCAUUCAUUCUGUGUUCAACAGCUAUGCCUGGUGUGGACUAGACCCUAGACCCCGUGCCAGGUUGAACUUCACUGGCUUCAAGAUCAAGAAUACUAUACAUUGUGGAAUUCUGGACUCUUGUCUUUCAACCAUCUGGAGACGAGCCUAGACUUUUGCCUCAUAAGCCUCCAGGAAGUUUCUGGAGCAGAAGAGUCUGCUCUGAAAUAUGGCACUCUGUUUCUUCUCCAAGCAAACCUUCCCAGAGGGCUUUCCCAGUGUAUUUGAGGCUAGACCCUUUAGGAACCCACUGUGGGGCCAAUCAUAUGCCUUCCUCCCACCCCGUCCCGUUCUUUCCUUUGGUAAACGAAUUAUCAUCUGAUGUUGAUAUUUUGUAAAAGCCUGAAUUCCAGUACAUUCACUCCAGGCUUUCAGGAAGCCCGAGACACCCAUGUCUGUUGGGUGGGAUAAGGGAGAUUUCAGGUAAACCCUGGUAUCUGUCUUCCACAACACAGAAUAAUAGGCAGUGUCACACAGAGAUAUAUACUGCAGUGGUCUCGAGGACACAGCAUCAGGGUCGUGGUUAUCUGUGUCAAACAAAAACCACAGGUCAUCAAUCUGGGUUUGCAGGGAGGAGAAGAAUGUGGCACACUGGGGAAUUUAUUAUGACAAAAAUGACACGUCCCGUCCUGCCUCUCCCAGUUUGCCUCAGUGUGAGGUCAGGAGACAUACAAGUCUCUAAACCACCUCCAGCUCCUCCUUGAUAUGCCAAGGAAGUGAGUUACUUUCCCACUUGCUGCUGCUUAAAGGGCAGAGCAGAUGAGGAAAACCCUGUUAGAAGUGAUGUGUCCAUUUAAAUAAGCCAGUGACACCGAGUGAUCAUUAUAAAAGGAUUUAUGCGACAUCAGAAUGCAUUGGCUUUCAUGAUGGGGAUUUGUUAUUUUAAGACUAGGAAUUGUACCACACAUCAGUGGAUGAGUCAUGAAGCAUUUAGAUUCUCGUGGAAAUUGAGGACUCUGCUGGGAGGGAGCCCGCUGCCCUAAAUCCUAACGGAAAGCAGGCCUCCAAAAGGGGUAUCUCCAACAAAGCCCCACCUUGAGACUUCUGCUUUGUCUUGGCAAACUCUGGCAGAUCCAUGUUGGAAUCGUGAUUCAGCCACUAAGUGCCCAUGUAGGCUUGGCCAAGUUAGUUCAUCUCCCUGAAACUUAAUUAAUUCUUUCCCCUGUAAAAUAGGAUCAUAGUACCUAGUAUGGGGGGAUUAACAAGGUAACUAGUUCAAAAGCCUAGCCCGGUGUCUCGCACAAAACAAGUGCUCAGUAAAUCUUAGUUUGUGCUCCCUUG